rnacentral:rRNA from 1 species
CGACAGGCGUAGUCGAUGGACAACCGGUUGAUAUUCCGGUACCCGCUUUGAAGCGCCAAACAUCGAAUCAGGCGAUGCUAAGUCCGUGAAGCCGCCCUGGAGUCUUCGGACGAAGGGGAGUGGUGGAGCCGACGAACCAGACUUGUAGUAGGUGAGUGAUGGGGUGACGCAGGAAGGUAGUCCAGCCCGGGCGGUGGUUGUCCCGGGGUAAG